GGAUUAGAUACCCUGGUAGUCCACGCCGUAAACGAUGAUAACUGGUUGUGUGCGAUACACAGUGCGCGACUGAGCGAAAGCAUUAAGUUAUCCACCUGGGGAGUACGUUGGCAACAAUGAAACUCAAAGGAAUUGACGGGGGCCCGCACAAGCGGAGGAACAUGUGGUUUAAUUCGAUGAUACGCGAGGAACCUUACCUGGGCUUAAAUGUAGAGUGCAUGAUUUGGAAACAGAUCUUUCCUUCGGGACCCUUUACAAGGUGCUGCAUGGUUGUCGUCAGCUCGUGCCG
rnacentral:rRNA from 1 species